CCAAGAGAUGCCCAAGUGCAUCACCUAAGUAUCACCCAUAUUCUUACUUGUUCCCAUUGUAUAACAGCAAACCUGUCUCCUCCUGCUGUUUGGAUUUAGCUACAUCUGAUGAAGCAUUGAUUCCUUUCUUGCCUACUGGUUCCUAAACUCUAGAAGUUCCAUGUUCCCAGCCACCUGCUAAGCUUAGUUCCGUGGGACACUGUGUUGCCUAGCAAGAAUAUACCACCUUUGGGGAUUAAGACCUCUAAUUUCACAGAGCUCAGAGUUGCAGGAACUCUAUGCCCCCCAGCAGGUCAUUGGGAAAAAUGCUGGUACUUCAACUGAACCUUCAGCAGGCCAUUCCAGUGCUCUAUUUGGCCACCGGCUUCUGGGCAUGCAGCAUGUGAUACAGCCAAUGGAACCCAUGGUCACAGGCACGUCUUGCACCACCUUUGCUAUGAAGCAAGUCCUGCUUGGAUGCUUCAUUGUAUUAUAUCCCAUACCUGUGGAUCAAGCAUUGUGGAAGUCUCCAGAUACUGGUGCUGGAUGAGUCUUGGGAAAGCCAGUACGCGGAGUAAUGAUCAUUUCCUUGGAGACCAGAGCACCCAGGGUCAUUGAACCGAUCAAAGAACCCUACUAAUUCCUUUUCCUAUAACAUUCAGAUGCUACCUUGGAGAGGAGGUGGGAAAGGAUGGAUUGGACAUGCUAGAAGGUUUACCAAAAUACCUCAGAAUCAAUUAGGGUUUUUGUUGUUGUUGUUGUUAUUUAGGGGGGAGGGCAGUACUUACCUUCAAGGUGGUGUUUGGAAAUGUAUACGGUCAGUUAAGGUUGCCCCCAUUGCCAGAAGAGGCAGCUGCUGGCAUUUUGUCGGGGAAGGAAGUUGGGUAAGGGAGACAGUAGGGGUGCUAAGUGUCUGUGCAGUUCUAGGAAGAAAUGUCCCACCCAGCAUGCCCCUUGGGUUAUCAUAAGGAAUAUGGAAAUGUGCUGUUAAAUCUUACAGUCCACUGGUUCUAUUGAAAUGACUUAAUAGAUUUCUUUUCCUCCCCUUUGUACAACCCAGGGGGUGGCGCUCUUGA